GACGAACGCUGGCGGCGUGCUUAACACAUGCAAGUCGAGCGGUAAGGCCCUUUCGGGGGUACACGAGCGGCGAACGGGUGAGUAACACGUGGGUGACCUGCCCUCAGCUCUGGGAUAAGCCUGGGAAACCGGGUCUAAUACUGGAUAUGACUCCAUGACGCAUGUUGUGGGGUGGAAAGCCUUGUGCGGCUGAGGAUGGGCCCGCGGCCUAUCAGCUUGUUGGUGGGGUGAUGGCCUACCAAGGCGACGACGGGUAGCCGGCCUGAGAGGGCGACCGGCCACACUGGGACUGGGACACGGCCCAGACUCCUACGGGAGGCAGCAGUGGGGAAUCUUGCGCAAUGGGCGAAAGCCUGACGCAGCGACGCCGCGUGGGGAUGAAGGUCUUCGGAUUGUAAACCCCUUUCGGGAGGGAAGGAUGGAACGAGCAAUCGUUCGGACGGUACCUCCAGAAGCAGCCACGGCUAACUU
rnacentral:rRNA from 1 species